rnacentral:rRNA from 1 species
CCUACGGGAGGCAGCAGUGGGGAAUUUUGGACAAUGGGGGCAACCCUGAUCCAGCCAUGCCGCGUGCGGGAAGAAGGCCUUCGGGUUGUAAACCGCUUUUGUCAGGGAAGAAAUCCUUUGAACUAAUACUUCGGAGGGAUGACGGUACCUGAAGAAUAAGCACCGGCUAACUACGUGCCAGCAGCCGCGGUAAUACGUAGGGUGCAAGCGUUAAUCGGAAUUACUGGGCGUAAAGCGUGCGCAGGCGGUUAUGCAAGACAGAUGUGAAAUCCCCGGGCUCAACCUGGGAACUGCAUUUGUGACUGCAUAGCUAGAGUACGGUAGAGGGGGAUGGAAUUCCACGUGUAGCAGUGAAAUGCGUAGAUAUGUGGAGGAACACCGAUGGCGAAGGCAAUCCCCUGGACCUGUACUGACGCUCAUGCACGAAAGCGUGGGGAGCAAACAGGAUUAGAUACCCUGGUAGUCCACGCCCUAAACGAUGUCAACUGGUUGUUGGGAGGGUUUCUUCUCAGUAACGUAGCUAACGCGUGAAGUUGACCGCCUGGGGAGGUACGGCCGCGAGUAGUAACGUACGAAGUAGAGUAGACGGCGUGAGACGUGACCGACGGACGACGACGAGGGAGGUUAGG